rnacentral:misc_RNA from 1 species
UCCAUAUAUUUUCAUUGGGAUGAGUGACGAUGGUGGUUGAAGGCUCUCUCCUCAGCUUGGGAUCCCUGAGCUAGCAGAGAGGAAAGAAUUCAACAAGCCUUCUCAUGGCGGACAUGGUCGCAUCUCCUCUCCUGCGGAUGCUUUCUGACAGGCUAAGUUCUCUUAUUUACAACAGCUUGGCCGUUAAAAAUUUGCACUUCACUUUAGCAGAAAUCCAAACUUUGGUCCUUGAUGCAGAGAAUAGAUCGGAGGACGAUGAAGCCCUUCGACGCUGGCUUACUGAGGUCAAGGACGCUGCCUAUGAAGCCGACGAUGUUCUCGAUGAAUUCAUCAUCAACCUUUCAAGCUCCAAAUUUCGCAGCCGCUUUUCUCCCUACCAGUGGCUGCUCCGCUUCAAUCUUCAACGAAAGAUGAAGGACAUCGAAGGACGACUUGAUGCACUCUUGAAGAGGAGGAUGAAGUUUCAGAAGGCCGUUCCUUUAGUCAUCAAUAGGGACAUUAUCCCAUCAUUCGAGAGCAAUAUCAGUAUCAAGGUACCCCAUCGUGAAACUCGCUCUUUUAUAUCUGAGUCAGAAGUUUUUGGUAGAAAGGAGGACAAAAACAUUUUGAUGGAUCUGUUGCUAAGUGAUUCUGGUCUUAAAUUUAAGAUCAUACCUGUUGUGGGUAUGGGUGGACUUGGUAAGACGACUCUUGCUCAGUUAAUCUACAAUGAUGACGAGGUCCGUUAUAUGUUUGAUAAAAGAUAUUGGGUCUGUGUAAGCCAGAAUUUUGACGUGAGAAUGAUUGGGAAAGCUCUUGUAGAAACAAAAACAGAAGCAUCUCGGUUCCUUAUGAACACAGAGGAAACCGUAGAUACCAUUGUUAGAGAUGAAUUGAACGGCAUAAGGUUUUUGAUUGUUUUAGAUGACGUUUGGAAUGAAGAUCAAGAGAAGUGGAAUGUGUUGCAAAGGUGGUUUAGCAUGGGAGCUCGCGGAUCUGCUGUUUUAGUGACUACUAGAAGUGCAAAUGUAGCCGCUUUAAUGGGAACUGUCGACCCCCACCCCCUUAAACCACUGUCAGAUGAUGAUGGCUGGUUACUUUUCAAGAACGUGGCGUUUAGCUACAAAGAUGAAGAGAACAUUAUUAGCAGGCUUGUCGAAAUUGGCAAGAGGCUUGUUGCCAGAUGCAAUGGAUUGCCUCUCGCUAUUAAGACUCUUGCUGGCUUGAUGCGAUUUAAAAGAGAAGAAAGUGAAUGGCUACAAAUCAAGGAUGAUGAUAUAUGGAAUUUGCCAGAAUUUGAAUCUUCUGUUUUACCAGCCUUGAGACUGAGCUAUAAUCAUCUACCAUCUCAUCUGAAGCAAUGUUUUGCAUACUGUUCAAUAUUUCCCCAAGGUGUUACAAUUGGCAAGGAGCGACUGAUCCAAUUGUGGAUUGCUGAAGGUUUCAUUCAAUCAAGUGAAGGAAGUAGAAGCCUGGAGGACAUUGGAAAUGAUUACUUCAUGGAACUGUUUCGUCGCUCGUUCUUUGUGGAAGUAUGGAGAGAUGAAUAUGAUGAGAUAGUGGAGUGCCAGAUGCAUUAUCUGAUUCAUGAUCUUGCAAGAUUUGUAGCGAGUAUUGGGUGUUCAAUUAUGGAAGGUAACACAUUGCAUAAUGUCCCUGAAGAAGUUCGUCAUUCAUCUUUGGUUUAUGAUUCAUAUCAGCAACCAACAACUUUUGAAUCACUGCAGAAAGCAAAGAAGCUCCGAACAUUGCUUUUGUUCUCUAGCAAUCUUGAGAAGAUACCAGGACUCUUCUUGAAGUUAAGGUCCUUACGAGCCUUAGACUUGAGUGGAAGUGGCAUUCAGAAGUUGUCGAGAUCAGUUGGUAAACUCACACAUUUGCGCUACCUCAACCUCUCACGUACUUAUAUUGAAACAUUACCUGACUCCAUCAGUAAACUUCAGAGCUUGAAUACACUGGAGCUCAUUGAAUGCUACAAUCUCCAGGAGUUACCAAAUUCCAUAUGUGAGUUAAGUAACCUUAGACAUUUGGACAUUCAAUCAUGUUGUUCAUUGUCUCAUAUGCCAGCAAGGAUUGGGAAACUAAGGCUUCUCCAAAAAUUGCCAUUGUUCAUUUUGAGCAACAUCGACGGUUGUGGUUAUAUCAGUGAGCUCGAAGAGCUAGAUCUCAGAGGCAAAUUGGAGAUUAAGAAUCUUGAGUUCGUGGACAAUGUGACUGAUGCUGAAAAUGCCAAAUUGCUUAAUAAGCUAAAUCUUCGCACAUUGAAGUUAUCAUGGAGUCAAGAUACUGAUGUAAGUGCUGAAAUGUCAUUUGAAGUAUUGGAAAAGCUAAUGCCACCCCAGGAGUUGAAAGUUCUGCAUAUAAUAGAUUACAGAGGCACCUCAUAUCCAUCAUGGAUGAGUAAUUCUCUCCUCCAAAAUGUUGCAGAAGUUUAUUUAGUUAACUGCAGCUGUGAGAAACUUCCUCCACUAGGGCAGCUACCCAACCUCAAGUACCUCUAUAUAAAAGGAAUGUUGGCUGUGGAGACAAUAGAUAAUGAGUUUUAUGGAGGAGAUGGAACCAUCAAAGGAUUUCCAUCUUUGAGACAACUUGAGCUUUACGAUAUGCCAAACUUAAAGGAGUGGUGGAAUUUCAAAUCGGAUGAGCCAUUGAGUUUGAUCAAAACUGAAGAAUCAUCAUCUUCCAAACAAAUAGAAGAAUUCAUUUGCCUCGAAUUUCUAACAAUUAAGGGAUGCAGUAAUUUGACCAGAUUGCCAGAACUUCCAAACUUGAAAAGUUUAGCACUAUGGAACUGCAAUGAAGAGCUAUUACUGUCACUGGACCAACUAGCAUCACUGUCCACACUUGUGAUCAAUGAAUUUCGGAAGCCACUGCAUCUGCCUCCAGGAAACUUAAGCUUCUUAAGGGAGAUGACAAUAUACGAUUGUGAUGACCUGCUUGCUCAGUUGGUGGAUGGAAUGAAACAUUUGUCUUCUCUAGAGCAUUUGAGAAUUCUGUACUGUGAUGCAUUGAAGUCAUUGCCAGCAGGCCUUAGACAUCUCACUUCCCUGCAUAAGUUAGAGAUAGCAGAGUGUAGGGAAUUGGCUUAUGUGCCAGAUGUUCUGGACAAGCUUUCUUCUCUUGAAGAGUUCAUUAUUGAUGGGUGUCCAAUGUUGAAAUCAUUGCCAGAUAGUAUCCGUUCCCUAACCAGGCUUGAAAAGCUGGUGAUUCGAAGAUGCCCUGAUUUAAUUAAGCAACUACACGAAGAGGGCAGCGAAGAGUGGUCCAAGACAGCACAUAUCCCGCGCAUUGAGAAAGAAAUUGAAGAAUAUCUUACUGAAGAAGACAGCCAUAGUGAACUUCAUUACUGAAGAAAUGCACUCUCAAUCAAAUUCCAAAUGUUUUCCCUACAGGUAUUGGCUUUUAAUAGAAACGUUUUCAUCUAAUUUUGUUCUACAAUAAAUAUUAAUAACUUUGAAUUGGGUUUUCUCUGUUCGCUUCAACAGUAUUUGUGCCUAAAUGCAUAAUAGUCAUGGUGACUGAGUCGUGACUUAUGAUUUAUUCUGAAAAGCUUGAAGAAUGGUAUGAAAUGGAACUGUUUGAAUUCGAUUCCACCAAGUAUAGAAGCGUGAUGAACCGAGCCGAGCUUGAGCUUUGAAGAUUUCAGCAGCCCAUGCUUAUUCAUGGGAGAUUCUCAACUUGAUGGAAGAGGUAGAGGUGGGCUUGGAGGGGGCGAUGCCUCCAAGGAUCGCUUGGUUCUUUAUGAACGGUUGCUCUAACAACCUUUCAAAAUUGUUCGGGCCAUUUAGCUUGAAAUUGGGUCGAGUACUACUAGCAUUCCGAGAUGGUCCGGCGAUCUGAAGGACGGGACCACCGGUGGAGAAUCUCUCUUAAACAGUACAUGCUGGUGGUCAUACGUGGACUUUCCUAUUCGUAGAUAAGUAUUGUGGAGUAAGGCCUUGCAUUUGAGCCUUCAAAUCUCUGAUCUCUUUCUACUUUGUUCUGAGUGGACUGAAUUAAUGGAAGUUUUAGUAAAAUGAAAUAGAAUGAAACUUUUGUGGAAUAAAUAUGUUUUAAUUUUUUUAACGUGCGACUGUAUUCAUUGAGAUUAUUUAAAUAUCACUUUUGGCUGUGUCAUCUCUAAUGAACACAGCAUUUAUUUGCGGCAUUUCAAUAUUUAUUGUAUACUAAAGAUGAAAACAAUGAAACUAUG